rnacentral:rRNA from 1 species
UACGGGAGGCAGCAGUAGGGAAUCUUCCGCAAUGGGCGAAAGCCUGACGGAGCAACGCCGCGUGAGUGAUGAAGGUCUUCGGAUCGUAAAACUCUGUUAUCAGGGAAGAACAAACGUGUAAGUAACUGUGCACGUCUUGACGGUACCUGAUCAGAAAGCCACGGCUAACUACGUGCCAGCAGCCGCGGUAAUACGUAGGUGGCAAGCGUUAUCCGGAAUUAUUGGGCGUAAAGCGCGCGUAGGCGGUUUUUUUAAGUCUGAUGUGAAAGCCCCACGGCUCAACCGUGGAGGGUCAUUGGAAACUGGAAAACUUGAGUGCAGAAGAGGAAAGUGGAAUUCCAUGUGUAGCGGUGAAAUGCGCAGAGAUAUGGAGGAACACCAGUGGCGAAGGCGACUUUCUGGGUCUGUAACUGACGCUGAUGUGCGAAAGCGUGGGGAUCGAAACAGGAUUAGGAUAACC